GACAGAGGGGGCAAGCGUUGCUCGGAAUUACUGGGCGUAAAGGGCUCGUAGGCGGCCAACUAAGUCAGACGUGAAAUCCCUCGGCUUAACCGGGGAACUGCGUCUGAUACUGGAUGGCUUGAGUUCGGGAGAGGGAUGCGGAAUUCCAGGUGUAGCGGUGAAAUGCGUAGAUAUCUGGAGGAACACCGGUGGCGAAGGCGGCAUCCUGGACCGACACUGACGCUGAGGAGCGAAAGCCAGGGGAGCAAACGGG
rnacentral:rRNA from 1 species